AGCGAACGCUGGCGGCAGGCCUAACACAUGCAAGUCGAACGAAGUCUUCGGACUUAGUGGCGGACGGGUGAGUAACACGUGGGAACGUGCCUUUAGGUUCGGAAUAACUCAGGGAAACUUGUGCUGAUACCGAAUGUGCCCUUCGGGGGAAAGAUUUAUCGCCUUUAGAGCGGCCCGCGUCUGAUUAGCUAGUUGGUGGGGUAAUGGCCCACCAAGGCUACGAUCAGUAGCUGGUCUGAGAGGAUGACCAGCCACAUUGGGACUGAGACACGGCCCAAACUCCUACGGGAGGCAGCAGUGGGGAAUCUUGCGCAAUGGGCGAAAGCCUGACGCAGCCAUGCCGCGUGGAUGAUGAAGGUCUUGGGAUUGUAAAAUCCUUUCACCGGUGAAGAUAAUGACUGUAGCCGGAGAAGAAGCCCCGGCUAACUUCGUGCCAGCCGCCGCCGUAAAAC
rnacentral:rRNA from 1 species